rnacentral:rRNA from 1 species
CCUACGGGAGGCUGCAGUGGGGAAUAUUGGACAAUGGGCGAAAGCCUGAUCCAGCCAUGCCGCGUGUGUGAAGAAGGCCUUCGGGUUGUAAAGCACUUUCAGUGGGGAAGAAAGCCUUGGGGCUAAUACCCUCGAGGAAGGACAUCACCCACAGAAGAAGCACCGGCUAACUCCGUGCCAGCAGCCGCGGUAAUACGGAGGGUGCGAGCGUUAAUCGGAAUUACUGGGCGUAAAGCGCGCGUAGGCGGUCUGAUAAGCCGGUUGUGAAAGCCCCGGGCUCAACCUGGGAACGGCAUCCGGAACGGUCAGGCUAGAGUGCAGGAGAGGAAGGUAGAAUUCCCGGUGUAGCGGUGAAAUGCGUAGAGAUCGGGAGGAAUACCAGUGGCGAUGGCGGCCUUCUGGACUGACACUGACGCUGAGGUGCGAAAGCGUGGGUAGCAAACAGGAUUAGAUACCCUGGUAGUC